AUUGAACGCUGGCGGCAGGCUUAACACAUGCAAGUCGAGCGAGCGGCGGACGGGUGAGUAAUGUAUGGGAAACUGCCUGAUGGAGGGGGAUAACUACUGGAAACGGUAGCUAAUACCGCAUACUAUCAGAUGUGCCCAUAUGGGAUUAGCUAGUAGGUGGGGUAAAGGCUCACCUAGGCGACGAUCCCUAGCUGGUCUGAGAGGAUGACCAGCCACACUGGAACUGGGACACGGCCCAGACGCCUACGGGAGGCAGCAGUGGGGAAUAUUGCGCAAUGGGCGCAAGCCUGAUGCAGCCAUGCCGCGUGAGUGAAGAAGGCCUUCGGGUUGUAAAGCACUUUCAGCGGGGAGGCGUUACUCGCAGAAGAAGCACCGGCUAACUCCGUGCCAGCAGCCGCGGUAAUAC
rnacentral:rRNA from 1 species